UAGGACUUAAUUUUGUCGGAGAAUCAGUCAGACUACGGACGAACUGCAAGUAUCAGUGCUCAUUUCACCCCGAGAGAACUGAAUUGAAUCGUAUCGUCUUCAAAAUCAAUAUAAAAUCUCCACUGGCACCCGGUCGCUUCCAAAUCUCAGUGAAACAGUUUCCAUUGAGUGAAUAUUGACUUUUGGGAGAAAAAUUGCACCGUACCACCAUCGUUGGAAUAAAGGCUGUGACAGAAGCUGAUAGCUGAGAUGGAUUCGACGAAUCUUUACAAAAUUGCAUACUACAGCACGGUUUUGCUAGAUUUUAACAAUGGAACGAGUCAACCCAUAAAACUCGCAGCAAAACUUGAUGAUGAGGUGUUUUGUGUUUGGAUCAAGCCCCAAAAGACGAUCGAACGAUCGCUACCAACAAGGGAAGGAAUAGGAUUUUUGGGGUCCGAUAUUUUCCUUCAUAACGUAAAACAGCCGACCGUAUCAAUGGAAACAGCUGUCAUGAUGUUUCUUACAUUUCUCAAGAAAUCACCCAAGUCAGUUUUACUUGUUACGUAUUUUAGACAUUCCACAUCCGAUCCCCUGUCAGAACACUUACAAAAAACUGGCACCCUGCAGUUGUUUAAUGGUGUGAUUGCGGGUUUUGUAAAUAUACUACCGAUUUUAAGAAUCAGGUACUCAGUUGUAUCGGCAAUGGAACUACCCACUUUACCCAACCUCACAUUUCAUUUACUGAGGAAAGAAUAUACACAACCGCUUUAUGAAACACCAUAUGAUGUGGAGAUUCUAGAAGAGCUCGUUACCAAGAAAUUGUCAAAACUUGACUUGAUUCGAAACCGUAGAUCCUUAAACGCAGCUAUUCUGAGUGAAGACGAACGACAUUUAGGGCGAACUGCAAGAGCAGAACUUCCAUAUUCGAUCGCGAGUGGCUCAACCAAUGAAACCGGUUCAUUUGAAAGAGAGCGAUCUCCUGUUCGCCAGUUGCCAAAUUACCAAAUUCCAGCCAACAACGUUCCAGAACACCUUAUUCAACGUGACCAACAAUUUAUGGAAGAGUGGUAUGGACUUUUUGAACCCUAACCACAAAGAGACUAAUCCUUUUUUUCUGGAAUAUAUGACAGUAAUGAAUUUUUCUUUGUAACCAGAAAAAAAAUAAAGAAUAUGAAUUUCA